UACGUAGGGGUGCGAGCGUUUGUCCGGAAUUAUUGGGCGUAAAGAGCUUGUAGGCGGUUUGUCGCGUCUGCUGUGAAAAUCCGGGGCUCAACCCCGGACUUGCAGUGGGUACGGGCAGACUAGAGUGUGGUAGGGGAGACUGGAAUUCCUGGUGUAGCGGUGAAAUGCGCAGAUAUCAGGAGGAACACCGGUGGCGAAGGCGGCUAUCUGGACGGUUUCUGACACUAAGACACGAAAGCGUGGGGAGCAAACAGG
rnacentral:rRNA from 1 species